AAACCAGCACCUCAAGUGGUCAGGAGGAUUAUUGGGCCUAAAGCAUCCGUAGCCGGCUCUGUAAGUUUUCGGUUAAAUCUGUACGCUCAACGUACAGGCUGCCGGGAAUACUGCAUAGCUAGGGAGUGGGAGAGGUAGACGGUACUCGGGAGGAAGUGGUAAAAUGCUUUGAUCUCUUGAUGACCACCUGUGGCGAAGGCGGUCUACCAGAACACGUCCGACGGUGAGGGAUGAAAGCUGGGGGAGCAAACCGGAUUAGAAACCCGGGUAGUCC
rnacentral:rRNA from 1 species